AGCGGAGGAAAAGAAACCAACAGGGAUUGCCUCAGUAACGGCGAGUGAAGCGGCAAAAGCUCAAAUUUGAAAUCUAGCACCUUCGGUGUUCGAGUUGUAAUUUGAAGAUGGUAACCUUGGGUUUGGCUCUUGUCUAUGUUCCUUGGAACAGGACGUCAUAGAGGGUGAGAAUCCCGUCUGAUGAGAUGCCCAUUCCUAUGUAAGGUGCUAUCGAAGAGUCGAGUUGUUUGGGAAUGCAGCUCUAAGUGGGUGGUAAAUUCCAUCUAAAGCUAAAUAUUGGCGAGAGACCGAUAGCGAACAAGUACAGUGAUGGAAAGAUGAAAAGAACUUUGAAAAGAGAGUGAAAAAGUACGUGAAAUUGUUGAAAGGGAAGGGCAUUAGAUCAGACUUGGUGUUUUACGAUUAUCUUCUCUUCUUGAGUUGUGCACUCGUAUUUCACUGGGCCAGCAUCGAUUCGGAUGGCAAGAUAAUGGCAGUUGAAUGUGGCUUCACUUCGGUGGAGUGUUAUAGCUUCUGCUGAUAUUGCCUGUCUGGAUCGAGGGCUGCGUCUUUUGAC
rnacentral:rRNA from 1 species